rnacentral:misc_RNA from 1 species
UAAAUCUCAUCUGACAACACCAGAAGUCGUGGAUGCGCCCUCACCACCUCAGCAAUCUUCUCAAGCACUUCCUUCGGGUAGACCGAUCCAGUAGGAUUGGAUGGAGAGCACAGAAUCAACAACCUCGACUUCUCAUUUAGACUCGCCGCAAGGCUUUCAGGCUUGAGUAGGAAAUUCUCCGAUACCUCUGUAGGGAGAAUAACUGGCUCUGCAUCCGCCAACCUGGCCAUCUCUGGGUAACUUGCCCAAAAAGGCGCUGGUAUCAGCACCUCAUCCCCCGGGGAACACGCCGCCAGCACCGCCUGCAUUAUACACUGCUUCGCCCCAUUGCUCACCAGGAUCAGGUCCGGUGUGUAAGUCAGCCCAUUCUCCUCCUGAAGCUUGUGGCAUAUUGCCUUGCGCAGCUCGAGAGUGCCAGCAUUAGGCGUAUACCGCGUGUAGCCGUCACGAAUUGCAUUUAUCCCAGCCUCGGCGAUGGCGGCAGGGGUGUCGAAGUCGGGCUCGCCGGCGGCGAGGCGGAUGAGGGGGACGCCAGCCUGGACGAGGGCGGUGGCGUGGUCAGCGAUGGCCAUGGUCUUG